rnacentral:rRNA from 1 species
CCUACGGGGGGCAGCAGUGAGGAAUAUUGGUCAAUGGGCGGGAGCCUGAACCAGCCAAGCCGCGUGAGGGAAGAAGGUACAGCGUAUUGUAAACCUCUUUUGUCAGGGAACAAAGGCGGGGACUAGUCCCCGGAUGAGGGUACCUGAAGAAAAAGCAUCGGCUAACUCCGUGCCAGCAGCCGCGGUAAUACGGAGGAUGCGAGCGUUAUCCGGAUUUAUUGGGUUUAAAGGGUGCGCAGGCGGCCUGUUAAGUCAGCGGUAAAAGCCCGGGGCUAAACCCCGGCGAGCCGUUGAAACUGGCGGGCUGGAGUUGGAGAGAAGUACGCGGAAUGCGCGGUGUAGCGGUGAAAUGCUUAGAUAUCGCGCAGAACCCCGAUUGCGAAGGCAGCGUACCGGCUCCACACUGACGCUGAGGCACGAGAGCGUGGGUAUCGAACAGGAUUAGAUACCCCAGUAGUC